rnacentral:rRNA from 1 species
UGCAGUCGAGGGGCAGCAGGGACAUGCUUUUAGUAUGUUUGCUGGCGACCGGCGCACGGGUGAGUAACGCGUACGCAACUUACCUCUGAGAGGGGAAUAGCCCUGGGAAACUGGGAUUAAUGUUCCGUGGUAUUAUGGGGAGGCAUCUUUUCAUAAUUAAAGCUUAGGUGCUCAGAGAUAGGCGUGCGUCCUAUUAGUUAGUUGGUGAGGUAACGGCUCACCAAGGCGAUGAUAGGUAGGGGGCGUGAGAGCGUGACCCCCCACACGGGUACCGAGACACGGACCCGACUCCUACGGGAGGCAGCAGUAAGGAAUAUUGGACAAUGGAGGCAACUCUGAUCCAGCCAUCCCGCGUGCAGGAAGGAGGCCCUUUGGGUUGUAAACUGCUUUUAACAGGGAAGAAAUAUAGUCAUUUAUGAUUAGUUGACGGUACCUGAGGAAUAAGCACCGGCUAACCCCGUGCCAGCAGCCGCGGUAAUACGGAGGGUGCAAGCGUUAUCCGGAAUCACUGGGUUUAAAGGGUGCGUAGGCGGAAUAUUAAGUCAGUGGUGAAAUCCUGUCGCUUAACGAUAGAAUUGCCAUCGAUACUGAUAUUCUUGAAUUG